rnacentral:rRNA from 1 species
UAGGGAAUCUUCGGCAAUGGACGAAAGUCUGACCGAGCAACGCCGCGUGAGUGAAGAAGGUUUUCGGAUCGUAAAACUCUGUUGGUAGAGAAGAAGGUUGGUGAGAGUGGAAAGCUCAUCAAGUGACGGUAACUACCCAGAAAGGGACGGCUAACUACGUGCCAC